rnacentral:rRNA from 1 species
GUGGGGAAUAUUGGACAAUGGGCGAAAGCCUGAUCCAGCCAUGCCGCGUGUGUGAAGAAGGUCUUCGGAUUGUAAAGCACUUUAAGUUGGGAGGAAGGGCAGUAAGUUAAUACCUUGCUGUUUUGACGUUACCAACAGAAUAAGCACCGGCUAACUUCGUGCCAGCAGCCGCGGUAAUACGAAGGGUGCAAGCGUUAAUCGGAAUUACUGGGCGUAAAGCGCGCGUAGGUGGUUCAGCAAGUUGAAGGUGAAAUCCCCGGGCUCAACCUGGGAACUGCCUCCAAAACUGCAUGACUAGAGUACGGUAGAGGGUAGUGGAAUUUCCUGUGUAGCGGUGAAAUGCGUAGAUAUAGGAAGGAACACCAGUGGCGAAGGCGACUACCUGGACUGAUACUGACACUGAGGUGCGAAAGCGUGGGGAGCAAACAGGAUUAGAUACCCGAGUAGUCC